CACCUGAUUGAUUUUGGUCGCCAACGAGUGGCGGACGGGUGAGUAACACGUAGGUAACCUGCCCAGAAGCGGGGGACAACAUUUGGAAACAGAUGCUAAUACCGCAUAACAGCGUUGUUCGCAUGAACAACGCUUAAAAGAUGGCUUCUCGCUAUCACUUCUGGAUGGACCUGCGGUGCAUUAGCUUGUUGGUGGGGUAACGGCCUACCAAGGCGAUGAUGCAUAGCCGAGUUGAGAGACUGAUCGGCCACAAUGGGACUGAGACACGGCCCAUACUCCUACGGGAGGCAGCAGUAGGGAAUCUUCCACAAUGGGCGCAAGCCUGAUGGAGCAACACCGCGUGAGUGAAGAAGGGUUUCGGCUCGUAAAGCUCUGUUGUUAAAGAAGAACACGUAUGAGAGUAACUGUUCAUACGUUGACGGUAUUUAACCAGAAAGUCACGGCUAACUACGUGCCAGCAGCCGCGGUAAUACGUAGGUGGCAAGCGUUAUCCGGAUUUAUUGGGCGUAAAGAGAGUGCAGGCGGUUUUCUAAGUCUGAUGUGAAAGCCUUCGGCUUAACCGGAGAAGUGCAUCGGAAACUGGAUAACUUGAGUGCAGAAGAGGGUAGUGGAACUCCAUGUGUAGCGGUGGAAUGCGUAGAUAUAUGGAAGAACACCAGUGGCGAAGGCGGCUACCUGGUCUGCAACUGACGCUGAGACUCGAAAGCAUGGGUAGCGAACAGGAUUAGAUACCCUGGUAGUCCAUGCCGUAAACGAUGAGUGCUAGGUGUUGGAGGGUUUCCGCCCUUCAGUGCCGGAGCUAACGCAUUAAGCACUCCGCCUGGGGAGUACGACCGCAAGGUUGAAACUCAAAGGAAUUGACGGGGGCCCGCACAAGCGGUGGAGCAUGUGGUUUAAUUCGAAGCUACGCGAAGAACCUUACCAGGUCUUGACAUCUUGCGCCAACCCUAGAGAUAGGGCGUUUCCUUCGGGAACGCAAUGACAGGUGGUGCAUGGUCGUCGUCAGCUCGUGUCGUGAGAUGUUGGGUUAAGUCCCGCAACGAGCGCAACCCUUGUUACUAGUUGCCAGCAUUAAGUUGGGCACUCUAGUGAGACUGCCGGUGACAAACCGGAGGAAGGUGGGGACGACGUCAGAUCAUCAUGCCCCUUAUGACCUGGGCUACACACGUGCUACAAUGGACGGUACAACGAGUCGCGAACUCGCGAGGGCAAGCAAAUCUCUUAAAACCGUUCUCAGUUCGGACUGCAGGCUGCAACUCGCCUGCACGAAGUCGGAAUCGCUAGUAAUCGCGGAUCAGCAUGCCGCGGUGAAUACGUUCCCGGGCCUUGUACACACCGCCCGUCACACCAUGAGAGUUUGUAAC
rnacentral:rRNA from 2 species